rnacentral:rRNA from 1 species
CCUACGGGAGGCAGCAGUGAGGAAUAUUGGUCAAUGGGCGGGAGCCUGAACCAGCCAAGUCGCGUGAGGGAAGACGGUCCUAUGGAUUGUAAACCUCUUUAGGCGGGGAGCAAUGCCGGGCACGCGUGCCCGGAGGGAGAGUACCCGCAGAAUAAGCAUCGGCUAACUCCGUGCCAGCAGCCGCGGUAAUACGGAGGAUGCGAGCGUUAUCCGGAUGUAUUGGGUUAAAAGGGUGCGUAGGCGGAUUUUUAAGUCAGCGGUAAAAUGUCCGGGCUCAACCCGGGCCGGCCGUUGAAACUGGGGAUCUUGAGUGGGCGAGAGGUAUGCGGAAUGCGUGGUGUAGCGGUGAAAUGCAUAGAUAUCACGCAGAACUCCGAUUGCGAAGGCAGCAUACCGGCGCCCGACUGACGCUGAGGCACGAAAGCGUGGGGAUCGAACAGGAUUAGAUACCCUAGUAGUC